UGAAAACGGAAGGAAACUAAACAGGCUUCCUAGAAUAGCACAGAACAGUACCAGGUUGACUCAAAAUACAAACUAAUUUCCUGCACUGGAUGCUGUCGUGUCGUUCGUCCGGGAAUAAUCGUUUUAUAUACCGGAGCAACUAAACUGUACGCGGAUAUACAUCUGGUCAGCAUUCGCCUCAGACAGUAUCUACAUUUUCAUAGCUUCCUGAUUGCUCAAAAGGAAAACCAGUGUGGCCACUAUAACCUUCUGACCUUAACUCUAUAAAGGACCUGGGCUGGCAUCUUCAGAUCAAAUGUAGGUGGAAAGUGUUUGUAUAAUCUGCAUUUAAGGCUCCACAUGCACUUGGUAGUCUGGGGCUGUAAACAUCCCCGACUGGAAGCUGUCUGCACCACAGAGCUUUCAGUCUGAUGUUUGCGGCUGCUGGCUGCCUCCUACUGCCAAGUUAACCUUUUUAUUCAAUAUUCAUUGAAAUCCAUACCUGAUUUAGACACUGUGCUCCUUUAAAGUGUAGCUUUGUGUUCAGUUGUUCAGACUCAGUUCAUGUAAACAUCCUACACUCAGCUGUUAUUGAUUGUCACAGAGGCUGAGAGGAGGUUGUUUACUUGAACUGGUUGGGAAUGAUACUUGGACUUAAGAUGGAGUGCCUUCAUUCACAUCGUCUGUUACACAUCAUUCAUGAGCUAGCCUGGAAUUGACGGCUCAAGGGAAAUAAAUUUUAAGUCUUAUUUGUCAAUUGUUCUGGUUUUUAACAAAUAAAGCUACUUGAAUACAU